UCAUAGCUGAGCUGGUACAGCAUGAAACUCUUAAUCUCAGGGUCACGGGUUCAAGCCGUGGGUUGAGCAAAA